rnacentral:tRNA from 2 species
GCGGGUGUGGCGAAACUGGCAGACGCGCCAGAUUUAGGUUCUGGUGGUAGAAAUACCGUGUAGGUUCGAGUCCUAUCACCCGCA